rnacentral:lncRNA from 1 species
CAGAUCCUGAGCUACUCCUGAUAACUAAUACAGCGCACAAUCAUCGAGAUUCCCAGUACAAUUCCAACCCAAAUUCCUGACCGCUUUUGCGUCCUCCUUUCCCCCUUUCCUCCCUCCAGGCCACCCUGCUGUACAUCCAGAUGUCCGACGCCACCCUGACCCUGGACUCCCUGACCGCUGAGUCCGGUGGCCAGCUCAAGAACCGCGUGCGCACCUGGAUCGCCGGCUCCAUCAUGACCGCCGCCGUCAACUGCUUCCUGAUCAUCGCCCUGGGCAUGACCGAGGCCCAGGUGGAGGCUAUCUCCGGCGAGAAGGCCACCGCUGUUUAAUGCGCCUGGUGCGUAGUGUUACGCGAGUGUGAGCAGCUGACCUGAUGAGCGUGACCCACUUUGCCGCUGCCAUUGUGCGGUGGCCUGACCUGACUGAGUGACAUCUAAAUUUGGGCUGUUUCUUAUUGCGCAUCCGCGAAUGACCUCUCGGACCAACUGACGGAAAAUAACGAGCGUGGUGGACAUCCUCCUGCGACACGAGCGUUGCGUGGCCACUUAAC